rnacentral:tRNA from 1 species
UGCAUCGGCCGGGAAUCGAACCCUGGCCGCCCGCAUGGCAGGCGAGCAUUCUACCACUGAACCACCGAUGC